rnacentral:rRNA from 1 species
AGUGGGGAAUAUUGGACAAUGGGGGCAACCCUGAUCCAGCGACGCCGCGUGUGUGAAGAAGGCCUGCGGGUUGUAAAGCACUUUUAGUGGGGAUGAAAAGCUCAGUUCUAAUACAGCUGGGUCUUGACCUAACCCAAAGAAAAAGCACCGGCUAACUCUGUGCCAGCAGCCGCGGUAAUACAGAGGGUGCAAGCGUUAAUCGGAAUUACUGGGCGUAAAGCGUGCGUAGUCGGUUAUUUAAGUCGGAUGUGAAAUCCCCGGGCUCAACCUGGGAAUUGCAUUCGAUACUGGAUAGCUAGAGUUCGGCAGAGGGAAGCGGAAUUUCGGGUGUAGCGGUGAAAUGCGUAGAUAUCCGAAGGAACAUCAGUGGCGAAAGCGGCUUCCUGGACCAGAACUGACGAUCAGGCACGAAAGCGUGGGGAGCAAA